rnacentral:rRNA from 1 species
UACGUAGGGUGCGAGCGUUGUCCGGAAUUAUUGGGCGUAAAGGGCUCGUAGGCGGUUUGUCGCGUCGGGAGUGAAAACUCAGGGCUUAACCCUGAGCCUGCUUCCGAUACGGGCAGACUAGAGGUAUGCAGGGGAGAACGGAAUUCCUGGUGUAGCGGUGAAAUGCGCAGAUAUCAGGAGGAACACCGGUGGCGAAGGCGGUUCUCUGGGCAUUACCUGACGCUGAGGAGCGAAAGUGUGGGGAUCAAACAGG